CUGCUCACAUGGAGACGGUCAAGUGGCAAAAACGUGGUCGGUUAUCGCGGCACGGAGCACGCUGAAAAGGGUGGCCAGAGGAGGGGUUGGACUCCGGAGAGGCAGGGCUGCAGCCCGCUCCACAUCUAACUCUGCCUGUCUGCCUGCAUGGGAUGAAGCACUAGCGGAUUCACAGCUGUAAACGCCUGCAGGAGAUCCUGGCCCUAUUUGCCCUGGCACUAAGGUACGGCGU